rnacentral:rRNA from 1 species
AUUGAACGCUGGCGGCAUGCCUUACACAUGCAAGUCGAACGGCAGCACGGGAGCAAUCCUGGUGGCGAGUGGCGAACGGGUGAGUAAUAUAUCGGAACGUGCCCAGUCGUGGGGAUAACGUAGCGAAAGCUACGCUAAUACCGCAUACGAUCUAUGGAUGAAAGCGGGGGAUCGCAAGACCUCGCGCGAUUGGAGCGGCCGAUAUCAGAUUAGGUAGUUGGUGAGGUAAAGGCUCACCAAGCCGACGAUCUGUAGCUGGUCUGAGAGGACGACCAGCCACACUGGGACUGAGACACGGCCCAGACUCCUACGGGAGGCAGCAGUGGGGAAUUUUGGACAAUGGGCGCAAGCCUGAUCCAGCAAUGCCGCGUGCGGGA